AAAGCUUUUUGAAAAUCUUUUGAUUAAUCUAUAAAUUGUGACUAAUUGAAAAUAAAUAAAACCUGAUUAACAAAUUCUCGACCCUGGUCUGUUGUUUUGCGUUGUGAUGGACCAUACAGGGCCAAUUUGCUGAUCAGACAAGUUACUACUGUCAAGCACACAUUUCACAUUGGGACUCUAUAAAUUGGGUCAAUAAGGUCCACACCAAAUUUCCUAGCUACUUCUAGUCAUUGUGGGUCAAUAGCAGACUUUAUUUAACUUUUUCUGUGUGAUCAAAAUUUUCAAAAGAUUGGCGAUAUGUUUGGUUUUAUUAACAUAAUGCUGUAAAACACUCCUCCAUUCCUGACCUUCUAUUCCAAGAUAGCACACCACUGUUAAACUGACCAUGGUGACCUUUUUCCCUUUUCAAAUAUAUUUUCUGAUUGCAAGUCAGCAGUAUAUAUAUUCAGUUCUAACACUCCUCCAUU